CCCUUAGAUGUUCUGGGCCGCACGCGCGCUACACUGACGAUGGCAACGAGUUUUUCCUUCGCCGAAAGGUGUGGGUAAUCUUUUGAAACAUCGUCGUGCUGGGGAUAGAUAAUUGCAAUUUUUGAUCUUGAACGAGGAAUUCCUAGUAAGCGCGAGUCAUCAGCUCGCGUUGAUUACGUCCCUGCCCUUUGUACACACCGCCCGUCGCUACUACCGAUUGAAUGGUUUAGUGAGGACUCCUGAUUGGCGCCGCCGCCCCGGCAACGGAGCAGCGGACUGCCGAAAAGUUGUUCAAACUUGAUCAUUUAGAGGAAGUAAAAGUCGUAACA
rnacentral:rRNA from 1 species